UUAGUACUCCCUCUGUCCCGAAAUACUUGUCGGAGAAAUGGAUGUAUCAAGACAUAUUUUAGUUCUAGAUACAUCCAUUUUUAUCCAUUUCUACAACAAAUAAUUCCGGACGUAGGGAGUAAUAA
rfam:Triticum aestivum genome assembly, contig: Triticum_aestivum_CS42_TGACv1_scaffold_486346_6AS